AGUCGCGCGGUAAGGUCUCCGCAAGGGGACCCUAGAGCGGCGAACGGGUGAGUAACGGGUGGAUAACCUGCCUUUCGGCGGGGGAUAACGGCUGGAAACGGCCGCUAAUACCGCAUACGGUUCUCGGGGCUCCGGCUCCGAGAAAGAAAGGCGCUUCACAGCGCUGCCGAAAGAUGGGUCCGCCUCCCAUUAGCUAGUUGGCGGGAUAAUAGCCCACCAAGGCGACGAUGGGUAGCCGGGCUGAGAGGUCGACCGGCCACACUGGGACUGAGACACGGCCCAGACACCUACGGGUGGCAGCAGUAGGGAAUCUUGGACAAUGGGCGAAAGCCUGAUCCAGCCAUGCCGCGUGGGGGAUGAAGGCCUUCGGGUCGUAAACCCCUUUUCUGGGGGACGAACGAGCAGAGGAGGAAAUGCCUUUGCUGUGACGGUACCCCAGGAAUAAGCAACGGCUAACUCCGUGCCAGCAGCCGCGGUAAUACGGAGGUUGCAAGCGUUGUUCGGAAUUACUGGGCGUAAAGGGAGCGCAGGCGGUCGGGUCUGUCUGAAGUGAAAGCCCGUGGCUUAACCACGGAAGUGCUUUGGAUACUACCCGGCUUGAGUACGCGAGAGGAGAGCGGAAUUCCAGGUGUAGCGGUGAAAUGCGUAGAUAUCUGGAGGAACACCGGUGGCGAAAGCGGCUCUCUGGCGCGUUACUGACGCUCACGCUCGAAAGCGUGGGGAGCAAACAGGAUUAGAUACCCUGGUAGUCCACGCCGUAAACGUUGUGCGCUAGGUGUGGGAGGUAUCGACCCCUUCCGUGCCGAAGUUACGCAUUAAGCGCACCGCCUUGGGGAGUACGGGUCGCAAGACUGAUACUUCAAAGGAUUGACCGGGGGGCCCGCACCAGC
rnacentral:rRNA from 1 species